CCAAAAUAGAAAUCCAACCCAAGAGACUUUUUCUCUCUCUCCCUCUUCCGCCUCCUUUCAUCUAUCAAAUUUCUGCAACCUCUGCUCUUCUCCAAUGGAGCUGAAUUUUGGACACCCUAUAGUUCUUGAGCAUAUGAACAACUUUCAAGAAGGAACCAUUUCUGUUUGAGCGACGGAAAUUAAAGUGUUGAAGCUCCACACAUGAUAGUCGGCUUCUUGCAGAUUUCGAAGCUGUUGUGAUGUUUCGAAGAUCUGGAAAUAUUUAACCGUUAGUUCAUCCUGAAUUUUUGAUAUGUUAUGAAAGAGUCGAUGAGGAACAACUUCAAUGAAGAAAGCAUACCGAUCUGAACAAGAGAAAAUGGAGUUUCGAAGCUCACAACAAAUCUGACGGGUUGACAGACAAAUAAUAACCAGUCAUUCAUCAUACCUGAAUUUCUUGAGUUAUACAGCUCCGAGGGAUCUCAAAUUUUGAUAUGUUGUAGUUCACAAGCUGAGGAACAACUUCAAUGAAGAAAGCAUACCGAUCUGAACAAGAUAAAAUGGAGUUUCGAAGCUCACAACAAAUCUGACGGGUUGACAGAAAAAUAAUAACCAGUCAUUCAUCAUACCUGAGUUUCUUGAGUUAUACAGCUCCGAGGGAUCUCAAAUUUGGAUAUGUUGUAGUUCACAAGCUGAGGAACAACUUCAAUGAAGAAAGCAUACCGAUCUGAACAAGAGAAAAUGGAGUUUCGAAGCUCACAACAAAUCUGACGGGUUGACAGAAAAAUAAUAACCAGUCACUCAUCAUACCUGGAUUUCUGGAGUUGUACUGCUCCGAUGGCUCUCCAAUUUGGAUAUGUUGUAGUUAAGGAAUUAACGAACAACUUUCAUGAAGACAACUUUGUGAUUCGACCUACAGAUGAUGGUGUUAUGUUGAAAAACAAUUCCGGUUGUUAGGGGAAAUGAAAAACAAUUCCACCAAAGAAACAUCAUUAUGAUGUUUCAUCAUUAUGGUGUUUUCAUCAUUAUGAUGCUUUCAUCAUUGUGAUGCUUCCAUUAUGAUGUUAAUGCACCAACGGUUACACCUUCUGCAAUUCCACUUAUUCGGGCCUAGCAACCUUCAUCAACAAAAUCUAUGAAGAAAAAGUCCGGGGCUAUUAGCAAGACACCUCAUUCGUCAACUCCCUCGACUAGAGACUUGGGGGACUCCCACCAUAUGCUACUACGCCUUGGUACUCAAAAGUUCGUGACUACUCAGUGACUUGGAUUUUUCAAGUCUCCAACCGAGAAGUUUUCCUCACUCGGGAAAUUAAGGGAACACUACCUCAAACUACAUGCUUC
rnacentral:lncRNA from 1 species